AACUUAAUUUGUGUUCCGAAGAUUAACGAAGGUCUUACGGGUGUGGAGCGGCAUGAGGUGUCCCUGGACAUGAUGUCUUUUGUUUCCUUGAACACAUGGGAUAGAAAUGCUGAUUUAUUGCUACAACAUUUGCAACUCAGACAGCAAAGCUAGUGACUUGGGGAUGGGAUCUUUUGACUUGGACUUGGACCAGGAAGCAAACACAUAGUAACCAUCCAGAACACCCUGGCAACCACCUACAUCACAUUUUGUACAGAGCAGUACGUGUCCUGAACUUAUGGCUGUUGUUAGAAACAACUGAAAGCAUAGUUUCUGCUGUUUUAUGGUUGAUCGGGAAGCUGUGGAGACGUUGCUGCCCGGCAUUCAUCGAUCCACCGCGAGGUACAG